rnacentral:rRNA from 1 species
AUGAUCCACGACUGGGCCUUCACCGACUCCCACUACGUCGUCCUCGGCAACAGGAUCAGGCUCGACAUCCCGGGGUCGAUGCUGGCCAUGACGCGCACGCACCCCAUGAUCGCGGCGCUCGCGCUGGACCCGGGCAGGCGGACCACGCCGGUCUACCUGCUGCCGCGCUCCACGGAGGCCGUGGCCAGCGGCCGCGACUGGACCGUGCCCGUCGAGGCGCCGUCGCAGAUGUGGUCGCUGCACGUCGGCAACGCCUUCGAGAAGGACAACGGCCGCGGCGGCCUCGACCUGCACCUGCACAUGUCGGGCUGCUCCUACGACUGGUUCCAUUUCCACAAGAUGUUUGGUUACAACUGGAAGAACAAGAAGCUGGAGCCUUCCUUCAUGAACGCAGUGAAGACCAAGGAAAUGCUGCCUCUUGUUCUUACCUGA